ACCAUAUUGAAAAAUAAAUUAGUUUAUCGAUGAUGAAUUGAUGAUGAGCAAGUGUUUUAGUGAUUUGAGUUAAAAUUAAUGUUACUUAGUAAAAAUGGCUGGGAAUUUUGGAAUGCAGCAAUUGAUCCCAAUUGUAAACAAAUUACAAGAUGCCUUUGUGCAAAUGGGCGUGCACAUGUCUUUGGAUCUUCCACAAAUUGCAGUUGUGGGUGGUCAGUCCGCUGGAAAGAGUUCGGUAUUAGAAAAUUUUGUAGGCAGAGACUUCUUACCUCGUGGUUCUGGUAUAGUGACGCGUCGCCCCCUGAUUCUACAGCUGAUACAUGGAAAUGCAGAAUACGCCGAGUUCCUGCAUUGCAAGGGCAAGAAGUUCGUGGACUUCAAUGAAGUGCGCCAGGAGAUCGAAGCGGAGACGGAUCGCAUCACCGGCUCGAAUAAAGGCAUUUCCCCGGUGCCCAUCAACUUGCGCGUCUACUCGCCUAAUGUGCUGAAUCUGACAUUGAUCGACUUGCCGGGCUUGACAAAAGUGCCCAUCGGGGAUCAGCCGGUGGACAUCGAGCAGCAGAUCAAAGCCAUGAUCUUCCAGUUCAUCCGCCGCGAGUCCUGCCUCAUCCUUGCGGUCACGCCCGCUAACACUGAUUUAGCUAACAGCGAUGCCCUGAAACUUGCCAAAGAAGUCGACCCACAAGGUCUUCGCACAAUCGGUGUGAUCACCAAGCUGGAUCUGAUGGACGAAGGCACGGACGCCCGCGACGUGCUCGAAAAUAAACUGCUGCCGCUUCGACGUGGAUACAUCGGUGUGGUCAACCGCUCCCAGAAAGACAUCGAUGGACGCAAGGAUAUCUCCGCUGCUCUCGCAGCCGAGAGGAAAUUCUUCCUCAGCCACCCAUCAUACCGACACAUAGCCGACCGGCUGGGCACGCCAUAUCUCCAGCGCGUGCUUAACCAGCAGCUCACCAACCACAUCCGCGACACGCUGCCCGGGCUGCGCGACAAGCUACAGAAGCAGCUGUUAGCACUCGAGAAGGACGUCGAGCAGUACAAGCACUUCCGGCCCGACGACCCGUCCAUCAAGACCAAGGCCAUGCUGCAGAUGAUUCAACAGUUACAGACAGACUUUGAGCGCACCAUCGAAGGCUCUGGUUCUGCUCAGAUCAACACCAACGAACUGUCGGGCGGUGCCAAGAUCAACCGGCUCUUCCAUGAACGGUUCCCUUUCGAGAUUGUCAAGAUGGAGUUCGACGAGAAAGAACUGCGUAGGGAGAUCGCGUUCGCUAUCAGAAACAUCCACGGUAUUAGGGUUGGUCUCUUCACCCCCGACAUGGCGUUCGAGGCUAUAGUAAAGAAGCAAAUCGCGCGGCUAAAGGAACCAUCUCUGAAGUGCGUUGACUUGGUAGUGCAAGAGUUAUCCAAUGUCGUCCGUUUCUGUACUGAAAGGAUGUCGCGGUACCCGCGGCUGCGCGAGGAGACGGAGCGCAUCAUCAUGUCGCACGUGCGCUCGCGCGAGCAGCAGUGCAAGGACCAGCUCGUGCUGCUCAUCGACUGCGAGCUGGCCUACAUGAACACCAACCACGAGGACUUCAUCGGAUUCGCCAACGCACAAAACCAGUCUGAGAACGCAACCAAGUCAGGUCACCGAGCACUCGGCAAUCAGGUGAUUAGAAAAGGAUAUAUGUGCAUACACAAUCUUGGUAUCAUGAAAGGAGGCUCUCGCGAUUACUGGUUCGUGUUAACGUCGGAGAGCAUCUCCUGGUACAAGGACGAAGAGGAACGCGAGAAGAAGUACAUGCUUCCACUCGACGGGCUCAAACUGCGCGACCUCGAACAGGGCUUCAUGUCGCGGCGACACAUGUUCGCACUAUUCAACCCAGAGGGCAGGAACGUAUACAAGGACUACAAGCAGCUAGAGUUGUCAUGUGAAAACCAAGAUGACGUCGACUCAUGGAAAGCGUCUUUCCUCCGCGCCGGUGUGUACCCAGAGAAAACGUCAGAAGCCGCCAACGGUGACGAGAGUUCGGACAGUCAAGCCACAAGCAGUAUGGAUCCUCAGCUGGAGCGACAGGUGGAGACGAUCCGCAACCUGGUGGACUCAUACAUGCGCAUUGUGACCAAGACGACUCGCGAUCUGGUGCCCAAGACCAUCAUGAUGUUGAUCAUCAACAACGCCAAAGAUUUUAUCAAUGGGGAACUUCUUGCGCAUUUGUACGCUUCUGGCGACCAGUCUCAAAUGAUGGAGGAAUCGCCAGAAGAAGCUCAGAAACGCGAGGAGAUGCUCCGCAUGUACCACGCGUGCAAGGAGGCGCUGCACAUCAUCGGCGACGUCUCCAUGGCAACCGUCAGCACGCCCGUGCCGCCGCCCGUCAAGAACGACUGGCUGGAGAGCCGCCUGGACUCCAACCCGCGCCUCUCGCCGCCCUCGCCCGGCGGGCCACGAAGGGCUGCUCCUGCACAGCAGGGUAAGUGGACUGAGCGUGUACCAGCGUGCAAGGAGGCGCUGACGUCAUCGGCGACGUCUCCAUGGCAACCGGCAGGUGGCCCGUCAAGAACGACUGGCUGGAGAGCCGCCUGGACUCCAACCCGCGCCUCUCGCCGCCCUCGCCCGGCGGGCCUCGAAGGGCUGCUCCUGCACAGCAGGGCCCCGGCAACCGAGGAGCCCCGCCGCCACCGGGCGCGGGCACGGGCCGGCCCGCCCCGCCGCUGCCGUCGCGGCCGGGCGGCGCCGCCCCCCCACCGCCCGCCGGCCGGCCCGCCCCCGGCGGAGGCCUGCCCGCGCCGCUCAUACCUACGCGGCGCUAAGCGGCUUCGGCGCGUGCCACCUAUCUUACUAACAAUAAGCUAUAAUGAACAUAAGGUACUAACUCUGAUGGGCUUGUUAACUUAGUACAUUUGACGCAAGUUGCCCGUUCACAAGCGGUAUCGGUUCGUUUGAAUAGACGUAGUGGCACUCAAUUUCAUAGGGUUAUCCGGUUACCCAGGUAUCAUCUUGUUGGUUGAGGUUACUAUUCGCUUUCUAAUAAAAUACUUGAGCUGACAUCGAAAUUAGACAGGAUUUUAGAAAACGACGAGAUUAGACUAAUACCAUUUGAAUAUUCAUAAUACUAACCAAAUACUCAAACUCAGUGAUAAUAACUUUCGACAUUAUGAUAGCUGGGUCGACCGACACUAAAAUGUAGCAAAAAAUAUAAUAUGCAAUAAAAUUAAUUUAUAUUUUAUUAAAUCAGAUUUAAUUUUGAAAUCUUGACUAGUGCUUUGAUUAAAUCAAAAGUUAUCGAUUGUAGUAAGUUAACAACUGUAUCGGUAAAUUUAUAAAAUGAAAUUAUACAUAUGUUAUAUACAAUAUUAGUCAUAUAAAUGAUUAAUACUUACGAUACGUCUGAAAAAAAUAUUGCUUCCAUAAAUUUAUUAAAUUAAUAGUGAAAUUUAUUAUGUACCUACUCUUAGUAUACUUAUUCGUACGUAAUAAUGUGCUUAGGGAAUCUCCUGCAGGCAGCCAUACCUUAACGAAUAUAGUUUUUUUCUAUAUACAUGAAUAUUAUACUAUUUAAUUAAAAAGUCUAUUUUGUCUUAACACAUCCGUGAUAUUAUAUUUUUAUGAAGAUGAUGAAGGUUGUGGUUUUAUCGAACAUUUCUUCGGCUGCCUGCUGAGAGAUAGAAUUGUUUCAAUACAAUAGGCCAAUACAGGUGUAUCCAAAAUUAAAAUAUACCUUUACCUUAUACCUAAUGGAACAGAGAGGGAUUAUGAAUUGAGAGUUGUUGUAGCAUCGUUCUGCGCUGCGUACACAUCGGUUUCAUCCUUUAUUAGCAAAACGAUGGAACUAGAUUGUGAAAAUGCUUUACUUGCUUAGCUCUUUCAAAACUGAAUUAUUAUGUGAUUAAAUGUUUGUAACUAAAAGUGGGUAUAUGAACACAACAAUGUAACUGCACUGCAUGAUAAUUUACACUAGUGUGUGUGGUCUUCAAACAAUUCUUCUUUCAGAUUUGUGUGACGCUCUUCUUUUAUAAACUUCAACUGAAAUUAGUACAAUAACAAAAGUAUUAGAGCCGUGUGUAGAGAUUCGUCUAAACUGUGUGUAAUUUAUAAGUUGUUGAACUUUUAUUCUAAAACUAAACAGAUUUCAGAUAAUCAUUCACAGUUGCCCUGUAAGAACUAAUUUAACAGAUUUUUAAACAUGUAUUAUGAAAAUUAAUUAUGGCCGUUACAUACCUUCAGGAAUGUCUUACAGAGAAGCUGUGAGAGCUGAAAGCUGGAGUGCUAGACAUAGACAUUUAACUCAAAGUUGUAUUGGAUAGUUGACACCAUUAACUAAUAUGUAUUUCUAAGACACGACUUUUUUUAAAAGAAUACCAAAUUAUAUCCUUGAAUGCCCAAUCAGUUUACAACUGGCUGUAUAAGGAUUGACAUCAGAGUCAAUGGAGUUGGCAAAAGCAAACGAAAGUUGACGUCAUGGUUUGUCUUUGCCAUGCAAAAUCCAUGACUAUGAAUCUAUGACGGCUCGUAAAAAUAGAUGUCAAGUUAAUGAUGUAAAUAUGUGUUUAGCGGAAUUCAGUCAUGGGAUCUUUUGUGGAUUGAUAUCCCAGAUCUGGGCAUAAACUAAAGAAGUAUGACUGGUGUUGUCAACUACCUUUUUGUAUAGUACAGUUGACAGCACAUCAGACUAUCCAUUUUUUGUUAUCUCUAAAGCACCUAUUACAACUUCACGAGAUGCCGCAGUGUUAUCUGAUGUGCUGUCUGUACCUGCGAUGUAAGAUAUUUGAGUAUAGCUAACGUGAUGGGAAUAUUAGGAGGCCGGGCGGCGGGGGCGCCGUGGGCGCGGCGGCGGGCGUCAUGGGGCAGAUGCCGCCUCACAUGCGCCAGCAGAUCAACCAGGCGGUCGGCCAGGCCGUCACCAACGCCGCCGUCAACGAGCUCAGCUCAGCCUUCGCUAGAUUCAACCGACCGGUGCCCAACGUGCCGCCAAAGCUGCCCGAGCGACCACAGAAUGGACGGCCAUUUUAAACUCCCCCUUCGCCGCCAUCUUAUGAUAAGUUGCAUUGUAAAUAUAACCCCCUCCCCCACUCGUCGUGUGUAUAUUGCUUCAAAUACUGCUUUUAUAUUAUUUAAUUAAUGAAAUGUUCAGCCCAAGCCGGUGAAUGGGAUAGUAACUGUAGAGAACGAUCUUAAACGUUCAGAAAUUUACUUUUUAUUUAUACUCCUAAUUUAAUAAAUUGUAAUUUUAACUACUUGAAUAUUUUACAAAACGAAGAUUUGUUUAGAAUGAAUGUUUUUCUAUUAUUAUUUAUGAUGUGCCACGUUUAAACUGGGCAAUAAUUGAAGCGCCAUGUGUUGUUAAACUAGUCGAAGCACAUUAUACCUAUUAAAGCUCGACUGUUAAAUGUCGUGUGCUUUUAGCAUUGCGUAGCGUAGCGUCACGUUUGUCGCUAACGUAUCGAAUGUCGAGAUUACGCGAUGCGUCCUCAAAUGUUGCCUAGUGUAAGAAAGGCUUUAUUAGUAAAAACCAAACGAAAAAAUAUUUUAAAUUAUUGUUACACCUAUGACCAAAUAUAGGUAUUAGGUAGUAUAAACAAACUACCUGUUAUAAAAAGGUUAGUCAUCAUCACGUUUUGAUAUAAGUACUGCAAUCACACGUUUUAAUUAAUUAAAAGGAAUUUAGGUAGGCGUAUCUAUACUAUGAAUUAUUAUUACAUGCUUCUUUCAGCGGUUAACUUCUAAAUAAUUUUGAAAUAAAUCAUGAAAAGUCAUAAAGAGUAAUGAUGACAUUAUUGUACGAUAAUAUUUGUGACAAUAUUGCAUUUUUAUGUAUUGAAGUUUACCUGAUUUAACUUUUAUGAUUAUAGAAAACCAGGUAAUAUUAACUCAGUGUAUUUCGAUGUAAUAAUUCACAAAGUGAAGUAGGAUAUGUAUGUGUAGGAAGGUAGUGCUGUAUCUAGUUAUUUGUUCGACUGAUAUUACAAAUAGGUUACUGGAAUGCUUGUGAUAGAAGAGGGUGCUUACAGGAAUACAAGUUGUACUUCUGACCAAUGCGCCUUCUUAGAGAUUAUGUAUAGCAGUGUUACUGUGGCAUUUAGUAUUAUGACGAGUGAAUGCAGGCGAUUACAGACGGUCUUUGAAAGAUAUUAUAUUUGUUACACUUACUCACCUACUUGCAAAUUAGAUUUUUCACCAAUUCAUGUUCAAGUUUAAUUUUGUAAUAUUAUUAUGUACAAAAUAUUUAUAAUAUUAUUUUAAAACCAGAUGGUAAUUUUUAGAAUUGUUUAUGCUUUUGGAACCACUUUUUCUACAUUUUUAUUGUAAAUAUCUUUUAUAGAAAUCAAAUUGGCAGAAGUAAGCGUAAUCAAAAGAAAUAGAUAUAGAAUGAUGAAAAAUUAUGUAAUUUAUUCAUUUAGGAGGGAUAAUAGUUUGAUAGAUUUUGUAUUUUUUACAUUCCCAUAGCGCCUGCUAAUCACGCGUCAGAAGUUUAUGUAUAUA